GCAAGUUUUUAUUUUAGAGAAGAGAGAAAGCAUGUCCAUGCAUACCUGAAUCAUGGGGCAGAAAGUGAAAUGUGGUGCAGAGGAAAUUCAGGCGAGGAGCCACAAAAACUGAGAGCAAAGUGACUUUGCUAAGAGGCUCUGGGAAAAAUCUCAAAGGGGAGGAGCAAAUGCCCAGACCUAGGAGACUGGGCAGAAUUUGGACACAAGGAAGUCAUUGUGGGCUGACAGUACAGGGUCCAACAGAGGCAAAGAGCUGGAAAUGCAGGGAAAGAAAGGGGAACAUCCUCCUCUUCCAGCGGAGGAAGCUGGGUGAAGAAAGGAGAAGCAUUGCGCUGGUGUGGGAAGCACGGGGCCGCUAAGGUUGAAGGCUUCUCAGCCUGGGCUGGAUCCUGGACAGACAGGCCCAGGCAGGCUGUGCACUGUGACCUGGGGCCUUGCUGUGAACAAAGAGGACUUCAAGAGGAGAUGGCCUGGAGGAGUUCGCCUUUGUGGUCAUUUUGCUUCAGUCCGUGACAACCUGGCUUCCAUCAAACCAAUCAGCCCAUCACCCAAUACUAGCUGUUCCAAAUAUAAAUUGUUGUCUUUGUCACUUUGCGUAGUCACUCUCCUCUUGAAAUAUACACAUGUUGUGAAAGGACUCUAGAAAUAAAUCUUUCCUCAUUAAAAUUUUCUACACAUGCGUUAAUUUUUCCUCCCUUUUCAACAGCGGACCAGUCAGCAAAUAAUGACUGCCCUUGGUCAUCCCUGGGAAGAUAAAGGAUUAUUAAAAGAGGGCCCGGCAGCUUGCAGAUUACACCUGCUACAUUUGGAGUGGAAAGAGGCUUCUCUGUCAGUGCCCCUUGCCCCCAUGGAAAGACACUAAUAGCAAUCUUCAACCAUAAUUGUUUGGUCCAUUUUGUUCUGGACCAAGUUUGCAUAAGUUUUAAGCCUGAAAGUCAAAGAAAAACGAAAUCUUACACGUCAACAUGGCCUUUCCAUCACUUGAAAAAGGCACCCUCUCUCUCUCUUUCUCUCUGCCUCGUAAACACAGCGGUCUUGCUCAGAGCAAUCUUGAGCUCUGAGCUGUGAAGAAUUGCUGUAGGUAGGAAGAAACGUUGGCUCUGGAAUUCAAUUAACUGUCAGCAUUGCUGUUCGAGUCAGGAUGACUCACUCCUCUUCAGCAAAUGGGCAUGGGGGCUGUGAGCCUCCAAGAUUAAUGGUGAUUGAUAAGCCGCUGGAGCUCCAGGACGAAGCCUCCCAGAAUCCUUCCCUCACCCACACACGUUUUUACAUGAAAAUAUAAUAGAUAGUGGGAGAGGAUGUGUGAGUACAGAGGAGAUGCUGUCAAGAAUUUGCCUGUAUCCUUUUCUUUUAUAUUGGUAAGUUUCACUGGAUUCUAAGCUACUGAAAAGCAGGGACUAUGUUUUAUAUUUCUUUUCUCUCAGUUCAUGUCCAAAUUAAUGCAUCAGGUGAAAAGAAAGGAUGCUGUCUGAUACCCCAUGAGGUAGGUAUGAGGCCCAUUCUAUAAAUGAGGGGAAGCAACGUGCUAAUAAGAGAAAAAGCUAGGACUCGGUCCCAGAAAGUCUGCCAAGGGUGCCAGCUCCAACCGCUGCAGGUGCCGCCUCUUCACGAGCACGUUACGCCAUUUCUCUCUUUAACACGGAAAGCAAAAUGUGGGCCUGACUGUGGUGAGGGCAUGCUUUUCCAUUCUAAAUGGCAGCUAGCAUGCAUUACAUGUACAAUAUACAACAGGAAUACAAUACGCGGGAGAGAAAACCUUCCCUCCCCUUUUCCUCAGGCACCUGGCUGGUUCAGGCUCCAGUGGCUUGGUUUUGUCGCUGGUGUUGUUAGUUUCCCCCAGCAUCCCCAUUCAUUUUCCAGAAUCCUCUGUCCCUCAUUGUAGUUUUGUAUUUGCAGAUACAAUCUAGGAAACAAUUCAGAUGGGAAAAGAAAUCUUUUCAUGAGAAAGGAUAGUAAAAUUAACAGAAAGCUGGUUAAACUUACAAUUUCCUCAAGUAUUGAGAAUAAACAUGAAUCCAUGAGAAUAAAAACUCAGUAUGGAUUUGUCCACAACGCUUAGGAGGAACAUGUUAGAAGUGCCACAUGCAGGCCAGGCGUGGUGGCUCACGCCUGUAAUCCCAGCAUUUUGGGAGGCCGAGGCAGGAGGAUCAAGAGGUCAGGAGAUCAAGAUCAUCCUGGCUAACACGGUGAAACCCUGUCUCUACUAAAAAAAAUACAAAAAAUUAGCCGGGUGUGGUGGCAUAAGCCUGUAGUCCCAGCUACUCGGGAGGCUGAGGCAGGAGAAUCGCUUGAACCCGGGAGGUGGAGCUUUCAGUGAGCCGAGACGCACCACUGCACUCCAGCCUGGGUGACAGAGCGAGACUCUGUCUCAAAAAAAAAAAAAAAGAAAAAGAAAAAGAAAGAAAAAGAAAUGCCACAUGCAUGUAAGAGUCCAGGCAGGGUGGUCAAACUGUCAGAUGCGCAACAUUCGAGGGGCAAAAAGGAUGAAAUAAGAUGCUCUCUAAACGCAUGAGCAAGACCAGCUGUCAAAGCACUGGCGCCUUUAUUCACACAUUUUGUAAACCUCAGGUAGACAGGAGACAGCAGUAAGUACGUGACCUCAGCGCGUGAUCCUCAUUCAAACUGGAAUUCGAGUAUCACUGGUCUCAGCUGCAGACAUUUCAGAGUGGGUCCAUUUGCUCUUAGGAACUUCCAGGGCACCCCAGCACCACUUGUUUUUGCCUUUGUCUUUGCUUUCCUUCCCCACAUCCCUACAAAACCAAACAGACUUGCUCUCCCAGCUUCACAAAGAGAAACGGAUUCCAAGAGGAAAUCACUUCACAGCAAGUGAGCCCUGGGAAGAAUUAAAGACUGAGGAGCCCUUGUAAUGAGAUUAAGGGAAAAAUGCUUUUGUGCAUCCAACUCAGACCCGUCCUCAGUAUGCAGGACGCGAGUGGUGCCAAAACAAACAUGGGUAUUGUUUUGGGAAGGAAAAGGUUAACAAGCUAUGAAAACAAAAUUAGAGAUAUUUUCAAAGCAUGACCCUCAGCAGAAUGAGUAGAAUGCAGUCUACCCAGGCAGCAGCAUUCCCUCCUCACUUGACAUUUAUCCUGCA
rnacentral:lncRNA from 1 species